rnacentral:rRNA from 1 species
CAGUAGCCGCGGUAAUACGAAGGGUGCAAGCGUUAAUCGGAAUUACUGGGCGUAAAGCGUGCGUAGGCGGUGAGUUAAGUCUGCUGUGAAAUCCCCGGGCUCAACCUGGGAACUGCAUUUGUGACUGGCAAGCUAGAGUGUGGCAGAGGGGGGUGGAAUUCCGCGUGUAGCAGUGAAAUGCGUAGAUAUGCGGAGGAACACCGAUGGCGAAGGCAGCCCCCUGGGCCAACACUGACGCUCAUGCACGAAGGCGUGGGGAGCAAACAGGAUUAGAUACCCCAGUAGUCCCUGUCUCUUAUAC